UGAAACCACAGGGGAUCUGGAAAGGGCUUCAGAUAACACAACAUGUAUAAAUCAUUCAGGAGAACAAUUCAUGAAAGAAAAGUUAUCUGUGUUUUGGAUGACAUUGGAAGAACUAAAUAGGAGUCAAUUUGAGGAAGAGACAUUUUGCUCCAUUGUCCGGCCUGGCUUUUCUUUCUCUUUUUUUUUUUUUAUUGUGUUGUAAUAUACAUUUUCAAAAUUAAUUAACCAUUAACAGCAAGAUAAAUGUUUCUUCUUGUGUUAAGGAAAUGCUGGCCUCGGUGGUGAAAGAUUAUUUCACAUGAGCAGCACUCUUCAAGAAAGCUGUUGCCAGAUAAGGUGGCGACUGUACUUUGAAGAGGAACAAUGAGGAGUGACAGACAAGACCGUGUUUACCAACCUGAAUAGAGGACUCACAGGUUUCCACUCCCUGCUCGGUUACCUAAGCCCGGGGAAUCAGGGCUGGAGUGCCAUUUCACCAGCCCGGAUCAGUAACAAAGUGGUAACUACUUCAGAAUGUAAUAACGCGCCGUGAAAUCUUACUCCAGGGGGUAACGAACAACAUUUUCUUAAUUUAAUUUUCAUGAAAUGUUUAAAAAAUUACUUUGUUGGAACAGCUCUGGUGUUUAUGAAUUUGGCAGCUGUGGAGGAUUUUUGUUCUGUGUUUUUUUUUACAACGUUCAGACUUUUGAUUACAGGUUGGGGUGUGAAUACAGCACGGCUCAAAUGUGAAAGCCUUUUAUUUCAACCAGGCCAAAAAUGUAGAAAUAGGAAGAAGAUGUUCUUGUUCUGCAACUUAGGAAAGAUCUAAAUUUGGCACCCACACUGUACACAGAAUGGCAUGGGACUCGUGUGUGUAGUGCUCCGAGACACAGUCACAUAUAUGUGAAAAUAUUUGAAAAUAACUGACUCCAGGAGCACUAUACCAACCCACCUCAUCCAGAAAAGGCCACUGGAAAUAGUAAUUUUCUCCCAUUUUUGUCUCUAUCCCUGCAGAGCUGGCAGAGUUGGUACAGAGUGCUGGGAAAUUGCUAUUGGCCUUUGAUAAAGUGCUCAAUUUUUAUUACUUUUGUGCUGUGUUCGUGAUUCUACAGUCCUGAACCCAAAUAUUUGUAGAGCUGAAGUCUAGAACAAUCUCGCUGUCUGUUGACAGCACCUGCAGUUUCUUUGUCAAUGUGAACAGUGCAGAUCAGCAUGGCCAGUUGAGCAUCCAAACAAGUUCAGCAGGAAAGGGGAAUAGAAAUAGAACAUGCAUUAUAUAUAUGUAUUUAGAUAUGUGUGUAUGUACAAUGGGAUUGUUUCUUCAUUCUGUUACAAAUAUAUUGAGGGGAUUUACAUUAGAGGACAACAUUAAACAAAAUUGUGACACAACUGACAAACAAUCAGACCGUAUUUACAUAUGUAAAUGUAUAUAUGGGACGCAAAUGCUAGAUGAAAAGGCUACUAGAUACAAUGUUUACUUUAACAUAGAUGUCUGAAAUUGGGAGUGUAAGUUUUUGGUAUGUGCAUAAUCAGCUGUAAUAUAUUUAUUAAUAGUUUUUAUAAUGCAUGUGUUUUUAUUUUUCUCAUCCACAGGUUUUUUUUUACAUUUGACCUCUUUGCGUCUUCAGGUUCUGGCUACAACAUUAUUGGACAAGGGAGUUAGCACAUGUGGAACAGGGAUGGCUGAAGGAAAUAUGCCAGCUUCUUACCUCUGGCAGUUUUAAGACUGAUGUCUUAACAUAAAGUCUAACUGGUGGAUAUUCAUCAUGCCAGGUCAAGCUGAAGUUGACAUUGCUUUCAGUGUCCCUUUGGUAUGGAUGGAAAACCACAAGGAGAAGUCAGGGCUAACUGCUGGCACCGUUGCUGAACACCAGACACAGUGUCCAUCAAGCCCUGAUCUUUCCUGAAGUGCAAUGUUUGCCCUAAAACUAUCCUCUCUUCAGCAACAAACACCGUUAGAUAUCUCUGCCUAGUUUCCUUACUAUAAACUGUGAUGAUUUUGUAAGGAAUGAUUCAUAAACAUAAAGGCAUAAAUCCAUCCCUCAUGAGGCAUAAAUCCAUCCCUCAAUAAGGCUCAAAACCACAAAGGCACAGGGCGAUACUGUGUUUGGGGUUUCUUUGCAUGAAUCUUGUCAUUUGUCUUGUUUUUGGUGCUGGUUGUUUUCUACACAGAAGAGGGAAAGUGUGAAACUAGCCCACAGUUUUUGCAAACUAUCAGAAUAAACCAUAUCUGUAGAGAGUAUCUUUAGAAAGCAGAAUACAUAUCCAGAGCACUCAGAGCAAGAACAGUUAGUCUACUUGCUAGUAUUCCCACCCACUGCCCUGACACUUGUAUUCCUGCUGGAGAGUGGCCCAGCUUCAGAAGGAAGGACUGCACUUAAAUAAUGUGGGGCACGUCACUCUAAAGAGCAUUGGAGACAAACACAAGAUGUGUUACUGAGCAACUUGAAUUUCUACAUGUGUUUUCUUUUGGAUUACCAUUCAAAGAGAUGGUGAGAUUUAAUUUAAUCAAUUAAAAUUAUUUCUUUCAGCCCUUUCAAACACCUGCCCCGAGUUAGGGCGCUCUCAAAGACGCGUCCUUAAAAUAGGUUCAAUUUUCAUGAGCUGGCAUUUUCCAUCAAAAGCAAGAAAAAUCUUGACCAUUUCUGGUGAUAAAAUUUCCUUUUUUAACAUGUGUUUGAGGCUCUGUCCUCAAGCCACUGCAAAGACAUAAUGGUAGGCACAAACUGCCUCUGCCUUGUCACACAGAAUGCACCAUUCUGGACUUGUUUCACUAACCUGGUGGAGGAGGCAGGUGUGUUCAUGGUGUCUAUUCUAUAUUAUUUGCACAGUGUUUAAGCUGUAAAAUCCUUUAAGAAGGAAAGGCAUUUGCACAAUGUCUUCUUAGAGAUAGUACUGUUAUAAAUCAUCACAUAAAGAGAAGAAAAACCUUCUAAUUGCUUGCUUUAUCUUCAAAAGUUAUGAAUUUCAGAACAAUCUGCAUAUCAGGUGCCUUGUUAGUAUUUUAGUGUUAAAAGGCUUCUGUUGAUAUAUUUCCAGCUUCUGUUACCUGCCUUUGACACACCACAUAGUUAUUUUCUUUUUAAUCUCUGAAAAGCAGAAAUAUUGUGAGCUCUUUGCUGGUGCCAGUAUGGAUAGGAGCCAUCCCUAAAGAGACAUAUAUUGCAAUUGGCAAGAUAUAAAUCACAUACUGUAUAAAUAUAGAGGUGUUUAUGUGUCAAGAUGUUGGCAAGUGGUUUGUGGGAAAAACUACUCUGUUGGAUGCUAAAAGCAUCUUUCAGGUCUGCCAUUUACGACUCCUACUUUCUUGCUGCUUUUGUGCCAGUUUUUGGAUUAUCAUUAGGGGUAUAUGUGAUUGCUUGUCCAGAUGUUGUACAGAAGUGCCUUGAAAGAGAAAGAGUAAUUCUUGCCCCAUUCCUAGUGAGAAUGAUGCUGUUGAGAAUUUGUUUCAGGGUUUGUUUGCUUUUGUUUUGGUUUUGUAUUUUGUUUUGAGUUUGUUUUUUUUCUUUUUACAAUCACUCUCUUCAUUCACUAAUGUCAGCACUUGUUUAUUUGCACUGGAGCUUUGUUCCCUACCAAAACUGGGUCUUGCAACUGCCUUGCUUUGAAGCAUAGUAAUUAACCCCUUCCAAACCUCACCUGCAAAUCUGCAAAUUGCUGUUUCUUGACCUUCUUCUUGUCAUUUCCUUUCACCCUGUUUCUUCUUUUAUAUUUUUUUCUUGCUUUGUUGAACUUACUUCAACUUGACGCAAGUUCACAGAUAACGUAGUGUGUCUUAGUGCAGCUACUUUGCUUUAAAUCCUGUGGCAGGAGUUUUGUUCCUGCACGCAAUCCACUUGGGUCCUAAGGAAACCUCCAGACAGCUUUACCUUCUUCUAGAAUCCUUUGUUCUACCUAGUUGACACUGCAGCUGACAGAAGCAGCCAACAGGCACUGCAGUUUGGGCACUCUCUUGUGCAGAAGGGUGCAGGAAACAGGACCAGAAAUGAUGCCUGGCAGUAGUGUUACCCUAGGGCAUAUCCCCAGCACCAUCUUGAUUUACUGGGGAUCUUAACACAAACUAAGCUCCUGAAGGAGAACUCAGCUGUCUGGGUCUGGGGCUGACAGGAUGCCUGGGACUCCUCACUGAGUCCUGGGGGUCACUAAGGGAAUUAUCAGCCAGCAAUGACACAAAGACUACCAGCAUCUUAAGCAUUAUCCCAGCAGGAAUUCAUCACCAGUAGGUUGAAGGAAGUCAUCCUUUCUAUACUCAGCAUAGGUGAGACAUAUCUGCAGUCCUGGGUCCAGUUCUGGGCUCCUCAGUGCAACAGAGGUAUCGAUAUACUGAAGAGAGUCCAGCAAAGGGCCUCAAGGAUGAUUAAGAGCCUGAUUAAGGAUAUGGUGGAGCAUCCAUCCUAUGAGCAAAGGUUGAGAGAGCUGGGACUGUUCAGCCUGGAGAAGAAAGACUUAGGGGAAAUCUUAUGAAUGCACAUAAAUACCUGAAGGGAGGGUGCAAGGUGGGUGGAGCCAGGAACAUCUCACAGGUGCCAAGUGAGAAGACAAGGGUCAAUGAGUACAUUCUAAAACACAGGAAAUGGCAUUUCAACAUAAGAAGAAAACUUUUUUACAUUGAAGGUGGUCAGAUACUGGAACAGGUUUCCCAGAGAGAUUUGCUCCCCUAUUUUGGAGGUGCUUAAGCCCCAUUUAAAUAGUGUCCUGAACGACUUGCAGUGAGUGACCCUAUAUAAUCAGGAGAGUUGGGUUAGACAGUCUCCAAAGGUGUCUUCCUACCUCAGUUGCACUGUGAUUUUCUCAUACAACUUCGUGCUCCUCUUUGUCCUUCACAUUGGAAAAGAGGCUGACCAGAUAGAAAGGUAGGAAGACAAAAUGAUGCUUUGAUCAAGAUCAUGCUCUUUCAGAAAAGAAGUGUGUAUAUAUAGAGUGUAGAUUUUAUACACAGUACCUGCCAGAAUCAACACAAAAUUUGGAAUAAAUGGAGGAGAUACCCAGGGGAAGCCACGUGUCUCACAUGUCUCAAGCAAGGGAUGCCACUAGCUGUGAUAGAGUAGUUAAAUAUCCAGACAACAUAAUCUGCACCAGUAAAUCAAUAGCAGUUCUCAGUUUGUGACAUAAUUUCUUUUUUUUUUUUAAGGCAGUAUUUUAUGACUAGAUCUCCAUUAUAUGCAAGGUCAAUGGUUCUGUUUCCCAGAACAGGUAGCUGGGAGUCCUCAGCUGGAGAGGUGAAGACUUCCAGCCUAAAUCUGUGAGCUUUGGAAAGGAAAUGACUACAGACACAGCAGGCUGGAGUCCAGCUGUCAGCCACUGUUGGGACCUGAUACCUUGCAGAUCCAUAGGCAGCUCCACAAGGACUAGAACAUCUUGAGGAACAGCUCAAGGAUUAGGGAGGAUCAGAGAGUUUGCGCGUGUGAGAAUCUUCAUGCAAGAGACUGUCUGGGCAUAUAUAUAUUUAAAAUAAUCUAGCUAAAGAGUGAGAGACUUUCUGAUCACAUGUUGUCUCAGAUAAAAUUUUGAGAGAAUUGGUUUGUUCUGAAGCAUAUUUAUUCUAUAGCAUAUACAAUAAUUCACCAUGGUAAAGUAUUGAAUAAACACUACACUGUCACCUUUUUUAUUAUUUAAGUGUCUUGAACAGUACUAAAAUCAGUUGUGAUUCCUGAAAAUUAAUUCCUGCUAUUAGUUUUCUGACCUGGAUAAGAAUCAGUAACCCAGAGCUGCAAAGCCAUGCAUAUAAUUAUACCACUUCCCCACUGAACUUGCAUUAUUAUCAUAACUAUAACCGGCCUUUGUAGAAAAACUGCUUCUACACUGCAUCUAUAUUCUGUUCUAAAAUAAUGACACGUGACAGUUCCAGAGAAGAAUUACUAAUUAAACAUAUUCCUUUUAAUAUUUCAUCCAUUGUCCUCAAAAAGACAACAAUUUCAACCCUUUAUUUAUUUUUUCUACACUAUUUGGAGUUUAGGAUCUAUUCCUUAAGAACAAAAGUACAAUACUAUCUUGCAGAACUGAGCUGUCAUGACAAAAAUUUUUAUCAGUCUAAAUUAUCUAUGCAACAACAUGAUAGAAACCCAGAAAUAGGAUACAGUAGCAAAGCAGUUCAACUUCCAUUAAAAAUAAAAGCUCUGUUAAUAAGCUUCUGGCAUGAUUUUUGAUAUAACCAUUUUAGGGUUAAUGGUGGUUGGCUAUCAUGAAGGAUUUUGCAAGUGUUGAAGUUAUCAGUGUCCCCAUAUAUGCCUUAGCUCAGCAAAGCAGUUAAGCAUGUGCUUAAGUCUCAUUCUGUAAUCUCUUUCUCUAACCAUAAAUCCUGCUUCAUUGACUUCUGCACUUUUUAUAGCUUGCUGAGGGAAAUUCAUGCUACCUGUUUGGCAACAUAACAGUAGCAUGACAGAGUAGUGCAUGCUUGCACCAUGUUUAGGAUUUUAGUAGAGAACACAUCUGGAAAUGGGAGGAAGAUGUGAUAAUAGAGAAUAUCACUUUGUUAUUUUAAUUUUACUUUACGUAAAAACUUUUGACAUGCAAAUGGUGUCCUUGCUAAUUGCAGUGUCUGUUGAGAUAUUGAUACUAAUCCUUCAAUUACAUUCAUUAUUAUUUAGCUUUUAUUUAUCGACCCUGUGGGAUGCAGAAAACUACAUAUGAGCCCUAAAUUCUUGCAGUCUAAAAGGCAGGUCCAGAAAAACGUGGAUGUCCUCUGGAAUUCAAAGUUAGGGAAUAAAAAGAGUGAACAGGAGAAAUCUCAUAUUGAUUUGGUGAGCACAGUUGUUUCAGGUUUCCUUCCUCUUCUCUGUGUCCAUUACCCAGCCCAGUGGCUGUACAUUUUUGUGUGUUUUUACCUGUUGUAAAUUGAUGUCAUUUGCUUUUGUAUGUCAACCAUGUGCAAGUAAGUAAAGCAAGCAGUUUUGUCUUACAGAAAAGCUACUUAUGUACUUUACACCUCAAAAUGAUUCACAGCACUAUGCAAGUACAGGUGCUAUAAACAGGAGAUGCAAGUCCUUAUUCUAAGCCCUCUACAAGUUUUCACAUCCUACAGGCCUGGGUGAUUUAGUGAUAUACCCUGAGCAACUCCGUAUCUCAUGCUUUGAGCAGGCCUAGGUGGACCAGAUGACUUUGUAACUUUGUAAUGAUGCUUUAAUAUAAAACAAAAGGAAUAGAGGGUGAAUCAGAUUCUCCAAUAAGACAUCAUUGUCUGUUUCAUUAUAUUCAGCAUAAUAAUGGUAAUUAUGAAGUCAAUACUCGUAUACCAACAUGUUAAAGAAAUGUAAUGAAGAGAGAAAAAUAAAAGUCUUCAUGAAGGUAUUAAUGCUAUCUUUUAGGGAGGUUAAUGAGAAAAUCCUGUUAGACAAGACCAGCUGAGAUAUGGAAUAUCAUUUUUGUAAGAAGUGCUGACAUCUGAGAAUUUGUUAUUGUUUCAAUUCAGGGUGAAAUCAAAUGUUUCUGAUAUGCCAUGCAAGUAUUGCUUUAGAAAAAAGACUUAAUUUCUCCAAUAUUUAGUUUUAUAAUUCUACCACUGUGUUUCAGACUUCAUUCUCUGUUUUCAACCAGAAAAUAUGUGGAUGCUAUGUAUUUGCAGUGCUGGGCUAAUUCUUGUGAGAGGAUGUGCAGUGUCCUUUUUCCUUUGCCAGGCAGACCAGGGGUUGGAACACUUGCCUGUAAUACAGGAGAGCUGGACUGCACAUCCACUGUACCCAGAGUGGUUUUGGAGUGAGCACUUUCAAAAUCAGAACAUAAUGUCCAGGGCAGCAGCUGGUAGCAGCAUCAUUGUUAAUUACCCUCAAGGACAUGAUGUACAGACUAGACUAACUUUUGGAGCUUCACUAAGGAUGCAAGUUGACUGUCUCUGAAUGAGAGAUUUUGAAGAAAUUAACCUUAGCCAAGAUGCAAAAGGAGAAGAAAGGCAAUGGUGAAGUCCAAACUGGUAUUAUUCUAGAGACAAAAAGAGCCUUUAAAAUUUUUGAAGACUGUUUUUUAAUAAUUUUACCCACUACUACUGCAAUAAAGCAGCCAGAGAUGCGACUGUACCAAAGCUCUAGCUUUGGUAAUUAGCAGUACCUGAGCAUUCAAAAGUAAUGUAGAAGUAGAAUGAGAGGAGAGAGAAUAUAACAAGAAUAAGUUCCAUAUAAAUGGAAGUAAGCAUAAGGAAAACAAAAGGAAGAUCCCUAAGUCCAAGAGAAGUUUUUUUGUUGAGAGAAAAAUGCAGCAGUAAGAUUUGAAAGAGCAAUCUCUCUGUAUAAAACAGAUGUAACAGAAAAAAAGGAGCUGUGUCUGCUGAAAAACCAUUUGUGUGCUCUGCAGCAAGUUCUUCAAAGGGAUAAAGAACCUAUCUUGGAUAGAUGAUCCAGACAAUGUUAAAGGAGGGAAAACAAUAAUCUUAGGUUUGCUGUAGGAGAAGUAUAUGCUUUUUCUGAGCAAUGGCUGAGCCAAAGAACCAGGCAGAGACCUGCUCCACUCCAUGUCUGAGUUUUGCUUGGUCAACCUUACACAAUAUGAAGCAUUGAAGAACAUAACACCCAGCUUCAACUGGCUGUUACUCUGCCUUCCUGGAGAUAAAGUUUGCCCAUCUUCAUUUCACAGUUAAGCAUAUGGCCAUCAAAAAUUAGCAAUAAACAUCAGAAUGCAAAAUGCUUAUGAGAAAUCUAUUAAAUAGCUCACAAUGGGAGUCUUUUGACAUUCUUGUGUGGAGUAUUCCCUGUGUUACAGAACACUGGAAAGGUCAUCUGUCCCAAAUAUUUUAUGUUUAGGAAUCAGAAAUCUCAAAAUGGUGCAACUGUUUUCAGUUUUAGACUUGUCUGAGGAAAAUGGGCAAUUCACCAUGCCGGAAUAUCUCUGCAUUCUGCCAACACUGAGCUACCUUAUUUGACCUCAGGGCUCAAUGUAUUGUGCUUGGGCAUAAAUAAUCCCACUGUCAUUCUAAUAAAGAGUCCCAUGACCACGAA